rnacentral:rRNA from 1 species
CCCGCUCAGAAACUCAAUGAAUUGACGGGGCCCGCACAAGCGGUGGAGCAUGUGGGUUAAUUCGAUGCAACGCGAAGAACCUUACCUGGGCUUGACAUCCCGAGAAUCCCCUGGAAACAGGGGAGUGCCUUUCGGGGAACUCGGAGACAGGUGCUGCAUGGCUGUCGUCAGCUCGUGUCGUGAGAUGUUGGGUUAAGUCCCGCAACGAGCGCAACCCUUGUCUUUAAUUGCCAGCAUUCAGUUGGGCACUUUAAAGAGACUGCCGGUGUUAAGCCGGAGGAAGGUGGGGAUGACGUCAAGUCCUCAUGGCCUUUAUGCCCAGGGCUACACACGUGCUACAAUGGGUGGUACAAAGAGAUGCCAACUCGCGAGAGCGCGCCAAUCUCAGAAAGCCAUCCUUAGUUCGGAUUGGAGUCUGCAACUCGACUCCAUGAAGUUGGAAUCGCUAGUAAUCGCGGAUCAGCACGCCGCGGUGAAUACGUUCCCGGGCCUU